UACGUAGGGGGCAAGCGUUGUCCGGAUUAUUGGGCGUAAAGCGCGUGUAGGUGGCCAUGUAGGUCCGCUGUGAAAACUUGAGGCUCAACCUCAAGCUGUCGGUGGAAACCACAUGGCUAGAGUCCGGAAGAGGAGAGUGGAAUUCCUGGUGUAGCGGUGAAAUGCGCAGAUAUCAGGAAGAACACCAAUGGCGAAGGCAGCUCUCUGGGACGGUACUGACACUGAGACGCGAAAGCGUGGGGAGCGAACAGG
rnacentral:rRNA from 1 species